rnacentral:sRNA from 1 species
GCUGGGCGUGGUGCUGCACACCUAUAAUCCUAGUGGCUGGGGAGGUUGAGACAGGAGGAUCAUGAAUUCAAAGCCAGCCUCAGCAAAAAGCAAGGUGCUAAGCAACUCAGUGAGACCCUGUCUCUA